AGCGAACGCUGGCGGCAGGCCUAACACAUGCAAGUCGAACGAACUCUUCGGAGUUAGUGGCGGACGGGUGAGUAACACGUGGGAACGUGCCUUUUGGUUCGGAAUAACUCAGGGAAACUUGUGCUAAUACCGAAUGUGCCCUUCGGGGGAAAGAUUUAUCGCCAUUAGAGCGGCCCGCGUCUGAUUAGCUAGUUGGUGAGGUAACGGCUCACCAAUGCGACGAUCAGUAGCUGGUCUGAGAGGAUGACCAGCCACACUGGGACUGAGACACGGCCCAGACUCCUACGGGAGGCAGCAGUGGGGAAUCUUGCGCAAUGGGCGAAAGCCUGACGCAGCCAUGCCGCGUGAAUGAUGAAGGUCUUAGGAUUGUAAAAUUCUUUCACCGGGGACGAUAAUGACGGUACCCGGAGAAGAAGCCCCGGCUAACUUCGUG
rnacentral:rRNA from 1 species